UACGUAGGGUGCAAGCGUUGUCCGGAAUUAUUGGGCGUAAAGAGCUCGUAGGCGGUUUGUCGCGUCUGCUGUGAAAACCCGAGGCUCAACCUCGGGCCUGCAGUGGGUACGGGCAGACUGGAGUGCGGUAGGGGAGAUUGGAAUUCCUGGUGUAGCGGUGGAAUGCGCAGAUAUCAGGAGGAACACCGGUGGCGAAGGCGGGUCUCUGGGCCGAUACUGACACUGAGAAGCGAAAGCGUGGGGAGCGAACAGG
rnacentral:rRNA from 1 species